rnacentral:rRNA from 1 species
UACGAAGGGGGCGAGCGUUGUUCGGAAUCACUGGGCGUAAAGGGCGCGUAGGCGGCCCUCUUAGUCGCGUGUGAAAGCCCCGGGCUCAACCUGGGAACGGCGCGCGAAACGGGAGGGCUGGAGUUCGGGAGAGGAGAGUGGAAUUCCCAGUGUAGAGGUGAAAUUCGUAGAUAUUGGGAAGAACACCGGUGGCAAAGGCGGCUCUCUGGACCGAGACUGACGCUGAGGCGCGAAAGCGUGGGGAGCAAACAGG